CUUCUACUGCCUCUUUUGCCUUGUACCUUAAAGAUUGACCUUUAUUCACUCACCCAAAGGUCAAAAAUCUGCACUUUUGCAAUAGUUUCAGAGAGAUUGCUGUGAAACCCACUGCCCAAGAAUUUAAAUUUCUUGUUUACUUGCAGCUAUCUCCAGUGGCUGGAAUUGCUGAUUAUAGAGUUGGUGUUAGCAUUUCAAUUUGGUUUUGCCGUUUGUAGCAGUUGAUUGGCUUUAUUACCUGCUGAAAUCUAAGGCUUGAGGUAGGGAAAGCAAAAUUUUCUUUAUAGCCUUGAUUCUACUUUGGUGUGUAUUUAGUGUGAUUGUUGAGAUGCUUUCUCUAUAUUUUUGUACGAAGUGUUCAUAUACGAAUGAACAAUGAUUUGUCAAGUUUGAGUUUUGAUCAAACUCUUAUUGGUAAAAGUGGUUGCCUUUGGAAUAUCGGUUUCGUUCCUAAUCUGCAAAUUUGAAUUGGUUGUCAGCCAACUAUAAACAUGGUUGACGUUCAAAUACUCAAUUUCAUUGUUGUGAUUUUACUUUGACAUUCCUUUUACCCAGAUCUUUAAAAUAUGCAGCUGAACUAUAUCUUUAUUUUGUCCUUUUCACACAGUUUUACAGCA